AUUGAACGCUGGCGGCAGGCCUAACACAUGCAAGUCGAACGAGUGGCGGACGGGUGAGUAAUGUCUGGGCAACUGCCUGAUGGAGGGGGAUAACUACUGGAAACGGUAGCUAAUACCGCAUACCAUCAGAUGUGCCCUGAUGGGAUUAGCUAGGUGGUGGGGUAACGGCUCACCAAGGCGCCGCUCCCUAGCUGGUCUGCGAGGAUGACCCGCCACACUGGGACUGAGACACGGUCCAGACUCCUACGGGAGGCAGCAGUGGGGAAUAUUGCACAAUGGGCGCAAGCCUGAUGCAGCCAUGCCGCGGGUAGUAAGAAGGUCUUCGGGUUGUAAAGUACUUUCAGCGGGGAGGCGUUACCCGAAGACGAAGCAACGGCUAACUCCGUGCCAGCAGCCGCGGUAAUAC
rnacentral:rRNA from 1 species